rnacentral:rRNA from 1 species
AUUGAACGCUGGCGGCAGGCCUAACACAUGCAAGUCGAACGGUAACAGGAAGCAGCUUGCUGCUUCGCUGACGAGUGGCGGACGGGUGAGUAAUGUCGGGGAAACUGCCUGAUGGAGGGGGAUAACUACUGGAAACGGUAGCUAAUACCGCAUAACGUCGCAAGACCAAAGAGGGGGACCUUAGGGCCUCUUGCCAUCGGAUGUGCCCAGAUGGGAUUAGCUAGUAGGUGGGGUAACGGCUCACCUAGGCGACGAUCCCUAGCUGGUCUGAGAGGAUGACCAGCCACACUGGAACUGAGACACGGUCCAGACUCCUACGGGAGGCAGCAGUGGGGAAUAUUGCACAAUGGGCGCAAGCCUGAUGCAGCCAUGCCGCGUGUAUGAAGAAGGUCUUCGGGUUGUAAAGUACUUUCAGCGGGGAGGAAGGGAGUAAAGUUAAUCCCUUUGCUCAUUGACGUUACCCGCAGAAGAAGCACCGGCUAACUCCGUG